rnacentral:rRNA from 1 species
CGAAAGCCUGACGGAGCAACGCCGCGUGAGGGAUGGAGGCCUUUGGGCUGUAAACCUCUUUUCUCAAGGAAGAAGAUCUGACGGUACUUGAGGAAUAAGCCACGGCUAAUUCCGUGCCAGCAGCCGCGGUAAUACGGGAGUGGCAAGCGUUAUCCGGAAUUAUUGGGCGUAAAGCGUCCGCAGGCGGCCGUUCAAGUCUGUUGUUAAAUCGUGGAGCUCAACUCCAUCACGGCAAUGGAAACUGUUCGGCUUGAGUAUGGUAGGGGCAGAGGGAAUUUCCGGUGUAGCGGUGAAAUGCGUAGAUAUCGGGAAGAACACCAGUGGCGAAAGCGCUCUGCUGGGCCAUUACUGACGCUCAUGGGCGAAAGCCAGGGGAGCGAAAGGGAUUAGAUACCCCUGUAGUCCUGGCCGUAAACGAUGAACACUAGAUGUUGGGGGAAUCGACCCCCUCGGUGUCGUAGCUAACGCGUUAAGUGUUCCGCCUGGGGAGUACGCACGCAAGUGUAAAACUCAAAGGAAUUGACGGGGGCCCGCACAAGCGGUGGAGUAUGUGGUUUAAUUCGAUGCAACGCGAAGAACCUUACCAAGGCUUGACAUCCUGCGAAUCUCUAAGAAAUUAGAGAGUGCCUUCGGGAACGCAGUGACAGGUGGUGCAUGGCUGUCGUCAGCUCGUGUCGUGAGAUGUUGGGUUAAGUCCCGCAACGAGCGCAACCCACGUUUUUAGUUGCCAGCAUUCAGUUGGGCACUCUAGAAAGACUGCCGGUGACAAACCGGAGGAAGGUGUGGACGACGUCAAGUCAUCAUGCCCCUUACGCCUUGGGCUACACACGUACUACAAUGCUGCGGACAAAGAGUAGCGAUCCUGCGAAAGUUAGCUAAUCUCAUAAACCGUGGCUCAGUUCAGAUCGUAGGCUGCAACUCGCCUACGUGAAGGAGGAAUCGCUAGUAAUCGCAGGUCAGCAUACUGCGGUGAAUACGUUCCCGGGCCUUGUACACACCGCCCGUCACACCAUGGAAGUUGGCCAUGCCCGAAGUCGUUACUCUAACCUUUUGGAAGAGGGCGCCGAAGGCAGGGCUAAUGACUGGGGUGAAGUCGUAACAAGGUAGCCGUAGCGGAAGCUGCGGCUGGAUCACCUCCUAA